UGCCGCGGUGAAUACGUUCCCGGGCCUUGUACACACCGCCCGUCACACCAUGAGAGUUUGCAACACCCAAAGUCGGUGGGGUAACCCUUCGGGGAGCUAGCCGCCUAAGGUGGGGCACAUGAUUAGGGUGAAGUCGUAACAAGGUAGCCGUAGGAGAACCUGCGGCUGGAUCACCUCCUU
rnacentral:rRNA from 1 species